rnacentral:rRNA from 1 species
UACGUAGGGGGCAAGCGUUGUCCGGAAUUAUUGGGCGUAAAGCGCGCGCAGGCGGUUCUUUAAGUCUGGUGUUUAAGUGCGGGGCUCAACCCCGUGACGCACUGGAAACUGGGGAACUUGAGUGCAGAAGAGGAGAGCGGAAUUCCACGUGUAGCGGUGAAAUGCGUAGAGAUGUGGAGGAACACCAGUGGCGAAGGCGGCUCUCUGGACUGUAACUGACGCUGAGGCGCGAAAGCGUGGGGAUCAAACAGG